ACGGAUGUUCGCCAACCUUACCGUGGAUUUGACGAUUUUGGCAUGGUCUUGUGGAAGUUUCUCACGGAGAUGAUGUGCCAUGUGGGACGUGUUUUGCAAGGCACUUUUCUCUUGCAGCGGUUGCAAGCCGGCAUUCCAUCUACAAGAACUUUGCCGUCUUCUUCCUUUAGAUAGCCGAAAAAUUCCCACACUGCCGACCUGGUCCGUUUUGGUGGCCUAAAUAGCGGAGAUGCGUCCUCUCCUUCUGCAAUUUCUUGUUCGCCUGCCCUGGAUUCAUAAUUACUGACCCGUGAUGAACCACUUUCUGUUCAAACAGGAACCUGUGGGGCAGCACCCGGAGCGGUGACAGCAGAUGACUGGGCAGGUGGUGGUGGUGGUGGCGGCGGAGAAGGAGGAGGUGGAAGAGAGGACCAGGAACCACUGGUGGAGGGCUGAGCAGGUGGUGCAGUGGCGAUGAAGGCAGACAUGACCUCCAGACUCGUCACUGUGGGGUCAAUGACGUCCUCCUGGAAGCCAUCAUCCUCUGCCUCGUCGCCCAGGGCCAAGUCCUCCAGCAGCUGCUCUGUGCCCUCAGACUCAGGAUCCAUGUCCUGCAUGCUGUUCCCCGUCUGCCUGUAGAGGUAGUCGACACCUAUCAACUCUCCUGGGAAUGAAAACAAUAAUGGAAUUAGUAUAACAAGUAUAUCGACAAUGUGUGGAACCCAUAUCUUGGGUCUGAUUAUAGAUAGAAAAUGUGCACCCCACAUUCAUGUCAUUAUUUUAUCAUAGUACUUUCUUGUUAUGACUUAUAUGAAAUAUGUUAACAUAUUUAUUAUUUGAUGACAUGAUCACCUGCAACAGAAUAUAUAUUAUAUAUACUGCAAUAUUAGAAUUUGCAAACAUGCAAAUACG
ensembl:lncRNA